rnacentral:rRNA from 1 species
UACGAAGGGUGCAAGCGUUAUUCGGAAUUACUGGGCGUAAAGCGUGCGUAGGCGGUUUCUUAAGUCUGCUGUGAAAGCCCUGGGCUCAACCUGGGAAUGGCGGUGGAUACUGAGAGGCUGGAGUACGGUAGAGGAAGGUGGAAUUCCCGGUGUAGCGGUGAAAUGCGUAGAGAUCGGGAGGAACAUCAGUGGCGAAGGCGGCCUUCUGGACCAGUACUGACGCUGAGGCACGAAAGCGUGGGGAGCAAACAGG